AAGGAUCAUUAUCGUU
rnacentral:rRNA from 1 species